GCACAAUAACGGUCUAUUGGGGCCAGAAUGGGAAUGAGGGCAGCUUGGCUGAUACCUGCUCAUCGGGCAAUUAUGGAAUUGUCAAUAUUGGUUUCUUGAUUGUUUUUGGCAAUAACCAAACCCCGCAGCUGAAUCUGGCUGGCCAUUGCUCUAAUGAUUGUACGGGGUUGAGCAACGACAUUAGAGCAUGCCAGAAUCAAGGCAUCAAGGUGUUGCUUUCCCUCGGAGGUGCCGGAGGAAGCCCUUUUCUGACCUCUGCGGAGGAUGCCAGGUGAUUAUUUUUCUCAAGUGUACAAAUUAUUUUGGUUUUUGAAAAAUACUAAAAAAAAAAUUAAGAAAAAUGAUAUUCUCAAGUUUAGUUUUAUUGUAAAAAUUACGGAAAAAAAGUCAAAUAUAUAAAAAAAAAAUAUAGCCCUAGCCAUAGCGUCUAAUCCUUGUGAGAUCAACGCUGAUUUUAAUGUUGUGAUGCAGGCAAGUUGCAGAAUACCUAUGGAACAAUUUUCUUGGUGGCCAAUCAAGCUCACGGCCAUUAGGAGAUGCUGUUCUAGAUGGGAUUGAUUUUGACAUAGAGGGAGGCACGAACCAGCACUGGGAUGAGCUAGCCAAAGCCUUGUCGGAGUACAAGCAGCAGAGGACGGUGUACCUGUCGGCAGCUCCACAGUGCCCAUUUCCGGAUGCAUGGAUGGGCACAGCGAUUGCCACAGGCCUAUUCGACUAUGUUUGGGUCCAAUUCUACAACAAUGACUGCCAAUUCUCCGGCAACGCCGACAAACUUAUCAGCGCCUGGAACCAAUGGACCACAAUUCAAGCCGGUCAAGUAUUUUUGGGGUUGCCUGCAGCCCCAGAAGCAGCCGGAUCUGGCUACAUCGCACCGGACGUGCUUGUUUCCCAGGUCCUGCCGUCCAUCAAGACUUCCCCCAAGUAUGGAGGUGUCAUGCUUUGGUCUAAAUAUUAUGAUAAUGGCUAUAGUGCAGCCAUUAAGUCCAGUGUUUGAAGUCUUGUCUUCUUAUAUAUGUUUACUUCUAAUAUGGUAAAAUAAAUGAGCAUUUGAUACUUUCUGAAGCUUCCCAGAUAAAGCUGAAUGAAAUAUGAAUUUUCUGCUUUCAUGAUUAAUACAUAUCGUACAAUAUUUUUCAAUAUCGACUCAACUGGACACCUGACUGCCCAUAUGCCUCAACCAUGGACGCCAAACUUUACUUGCAAUUCUCUUGCUUCUCCAUCUCUUCAAAUUGUGCCUAGGUCUUGAACACUAAUGCAGACAAUAUCUGUCUAUUGGGGCCAGGGCCGAAAUGAGGGCAGCUUGUCUGAUACCUGCUAGUCAGGCAAUUACGGAAUUGUCAAUAUUGGUUUCCUGGUUGUUUUUGGAGAUAACCAAACUCCGCAAAUGAAUCUGGCCUGCCAUUGCGACCCGAGCUCUAAUGGUUGCACGGCGUUGAGCAAUGACAUUAGAGCAUGCCAGGGGCGAGGCAUCAAGGUCUUGCUUUCCAUCGGAGGUGGCUCAGGAAGCUAUUCUUUGACCUCUGCGAAGGAUGCCAGGUGAUUUAUUUUCAUAAAUAUCAUUUGAUAUUCGGAUUGAUUUUCAAAUAACCGGUGAUUUUAUCGUUGUGAUGCAGGCAAGUUGCAAAUUACCUAUGGAACAAUUUUCUUGGUGGCCAAUCAAGCUCACGACCAUUAGGAGAUGCUGUUCUAGAUGGGAUUGAUUUUGACAUAGUGGGAGGCACGGACCAGCACUGGGAUGAGCGAGCCAACGCCUUGUCGGAGUUCCGCCAUCAGAGGAAGGUGUACCUGUCGGCAGCUCCACAGUGCCCAUUUCCGGAUGCAUGGAUGGGCACAGCGAUUGCCACAGGUCUAUUCGACUAUGUUUGGGUCCAAUUCUACAAGAAUCCCCCUUGCCAAUACUCCGGCAAUAGCAGCCAACUUAUUAGCGCCUGG
rnacentral:lncRNA from 1 species